AUGAUAAAACAAUAUACCAAAUAUCAAAUCAACAUAUUCAAGAACGAAGAAAAAGUGUGGAAAACUGAUUUGACCGAAUGCAAACCUAAAGUCCCCUUCAACUUUGUGCUUAUUUUGUUCCUUAAGUAAUGCUCUCUCAUAGCAUUAAUUCUAUAUUCUUGAUUUUUUUAAUUUCACCUAAGUGCAUUCUUAAUGUUUGAUUUAUAGGCUUAAAAAACAAGUUCCGAUAUUUAAAAGUAAAAUUGAAGUUAUUUUAACACUGUCUUUAUGUCAAUUUUUUUAGAAAGCAUAUAAAGCCUUAUUUAAAAGCGAUUCAUUGGGAGAGUGUGGAACUUUGUUUCACAUGAAGACAGCAUUAAGGAGGAAUGAUGUUAAUGGAAAUGUAAAAUCAAACUACAAAGCCCAUGAAGAACUACUUCUGCUAAUUGUUAAAGCAUUAAUUCACAUAGCUUCAGAUGAAAUCAAGGACUGCAGAGAACAAAACAGAGACAUUGUGCUUAGUAGUGUUUUUUCAAAGAUUUAUGGUCUAGGAUACAGUACAGACGAUUAUGUUUGCAACUAUUUCACAAAUUUAUUAACCUGGGGGAUGCAAAUUGUGAAUAUGAAUGACACAGCAAAGGAGGGGGACAUGGAGAGACUCAUAAUGAAUAUGAAGGAAAAUGCUGCCUUUUUUUACAGCCACUCAGCAAUGAGUAAAUAUUUUUCUGAGUGCAUAAAUACCAUCUUACAAGUAGAUCAUCUUUCAUCCCCUCAUAUGAAAAUGAGACAGCUAGAAGGGGCAUUCAUCAAUACUAAAGGGGGAAAUGGUAAGAACAAGGAAGCAGACCUUGUGCAGGAGCAUGCCAUUAGAAACCAGAAAGACUUAAUAAGAGGUCUAGGAGCAAACAAAACUGAGAAUGGUUCAAGGAGAGCAAGCAGUUCAGCAGAUAUUAUUCAUAGAAUUGGAGACAACAUAGAUCAUUUGUUAAAUAUACCUAAACUUACCACAAGCCACGCAAAAAAGACUUCAUCAAAAGAUCUUGAAAUUGCAAUUAACAUUUUAAAGAAAGUUCAACCUUUUAAUUAUGUUAAGGGAAGGCAAUUUGAAAGUUUUAAAACCAUAGCAAAGAAUCCCAAAUUAGUUGUUCCAAAGAAAGAUCUUGUACACGCCAUCCAGAAAAAAAUUCAAAGGUUGUUUUUAAAUUCUUAAUUUUUUAUAGUCUGUAAUUAAUGGUUUUAUUGAAUAUCCACUGCCUGUAUCUACUGUACUUUGUGUCACUAUUAAAAAAUUAAAUGGGAAUACCUUACUUACUGAAUGUUAAUAAAAUAUAAAUUAUAACCAUAUUUUUUUUAAUACAUGUACAUGUGUAUGUAACUAAAUUUUCUCCAUUAAUACUGCAAAUGUUAUGAAGGUAACAGCAGUUUAUAGUUUAAGUAUUUACGCUUUAUCUAUUUCUAUAUUUAGUAAUAAAAUUAUUUAAGCUACAUUUAUUUCUAUAUUUUAAAAUAGUGUAAGAAUUAAAUUUUUACAAAUAAAUUUAGAAAUCUGGCAUUUCGUAAUGGGAGAUAAGUUAGUUCCCAAUGUUUUAUAUCAAUGGGAAUUGAUAUUGUAGAUAAAGUUAAGUUUAACUUCUUCAUUAAAAUAUCAGGAAAUAAUGACUUUUACAUUCUGUGUUAUUUAAAUAUUCUUUGUUAAUUAAUGAAAUUAUAGUGAGCUAUGUUAAUAAUUUAUUACACCCAAAAUGUAAGUCUUUAUCAAUCUAAUGCUGGCAUUAAAUACAUUUUCCUUGUAUGACUAAUAUCUGUAUCUUUCCCUAAUUAAUUUUUUUCUACUUAAUUGUUUUAAUGUGUCUCUCCAUGUCCCUUCAUUGUGUAAUUUUAAUCUAUAAGACCUUUCCUUAUUGUUUUGUACCAGUCUCUCCAUGUCCCUUCCUCAAGUUAAUAUUUUUCUAAAAAUCUCAUCGCAUUAUUUUGUACGAGUUCCUCAAUGUCCCUUCAUUGAGCAUUUUUUUUCUAAAAUACAUUACUCAAUUGUCUUGUAAAGUCUACAUUAUCAUGAUAAUAUGUAAAUAUUUAAUUAAAGAAACAUGAGUAGGGUUCAAAUUUCCAAAGAAAAAUUAUCAUUCCCAUCUCUAUAAUCAAUAUAAAAUAAUACAUAUUAUCACCUUAUAUUUCUUAACAAAUGGUAUGCUAACUAGUGAUAUACAAUAAAACUUUGAAUGUAUAAUAUACACUGUAAUAUAUUUUUAUAAAAUAUUAAAAAUAUAUAAUAUUGUUAUUUCCUUGUACAUCUACCUUCAGUUUAUUUUUUCACUGCUAUUAUCAGUUUGUAUUUGUUGUACAUGAUUCAUUGAUUGUAAUAACAACUAAAAUUUUACUUUACAUGUACAAAAUGAAAUAUUUUAGUUCGUUAUAUUUUCCUCACCAGAAAAUGAAUGCAUCUCAUUUUCUCAUUAAUUUUCAACAAUGCAUUUCAGAUAAUAAAUCAACAAGGCAACAUAUUAUGAAACUAAAUAUAAACUGAAGAGUGUGCUUUCAAGAAUGUAUAAUUUGAAAUAAUUCAUAUGCUAGUCUGCUAUAUUUUU